UCCAUCAUAGCUUAGUUGGUAAAGAAUCUGCCUGCAAUGCAGAAGACCCUGGUUUGAUUCCUGGGUUGGGA
rnacentral:tRNA from 1 species